UGAGCAAUCUGCCCUUCUCUUCGGAAUAAGCGUUGGAAACGACGUCUAAUGCCGAAUACGACCUCCUUUCGCAUGAUCGGAGGUGGAAAGCUCCGGCGGAGAAGGAUGAGCUCGCGGCCUAUCAGCUAGUUGGUGUGGGUAACGGCCCACCAAGGCGACGACGGGUAGCCGGCCUGAGAGGGUGACCGGCCACACUGGGACUGAGAUACGGCCCAGACUCCUACGGGAGGCAGCAGG
rnacentral:rRNA from 1 species